ACGGACUAAUCAUUCCAGCCAAUCAGCAGCAGACCCUCCCUCCCAGACCCUCCUGCCUCCUGGACAGCAUCCAUUUUGAAGCUACAUUCUUAGUGAGCUGUCCAGGAGGUGGGAGGGUCUGGGAGGGAGGGUCUGCUGCUGAUUGGCUGGAAUGAUGAGUCCG